GUGAGGAAUUUUCCGCAAUGGGCGAAAGCCUGACGGAGCAAUGCCGCGUGAAGGAUGAAGGCCUAUGGGUUGUAAACUUCUUUUCUCAGAAAAGAAUUAUGACGGUAUCUGAGGAAUAAGCAUCGGCUAACUCUGUGCCAGCAGCCGCGGUAAGACAGAGGAUGCAAGCGUUAUCCGGAAUGAUUGGGCGUAAAGCGUCUGUAGGUUGUUUAAAAAGUAUUCUGUCAAAGAUUAGGGCUUAACCCUAGAUAGGCAGAAUAAACUUUUAAGCUAGAGUUUGGUAGAGGCAGAGGGAAUUCCCGGUGGAGCGGUGAAAUGCGUAGAUAUCGGGAGGAACACCAAAGGCGAAGGCACGCUGCUGGGCCAAUACUAACACUGAGAGACGAAAGCGAGGGGAGCAAAUGGGAUUAGAUACCCGAGUAGUCC
rnacentral:rRNA from 1 species